UAUUUUCAGUUAUAAAGAGGCAAAAAAUAUAUCCAUGGAUAUGGUGUGGCAUUAAAAAUCCAGGCACUCAACUGGAUGGUAUUAGCCCAUUAAUCAAUAUUAGCUACUACAUAUAAAAAUACGCUAACGCAAAACUGAGCACGCAUUGUCUCCGUACAGUGUACUCAUGUAUGUAUUACCCCAUAUUUACUAAAGGCUUUUUAUUCUUAACCCCUUGAGCGCCUUGAGAUUGAAUUUUGGUGCCACACACUGCACAUGGAUGAAGGCCCAAUAAUUUCCUCUUAAAAAUAAAAGUAUUCACCCACCUCUAGAAGCACCCAUGGGUGUGGGGGACACCAUUUUUUCUUCACACCAGUUUAAAUUCCUGCAAUUUAUUCAGUUAAAAUUAGCUGACAAGUUUCCUGAUAUGAACCAUGAUCUUGUACUGUUGGUUAAUCAGCUUUGUUCUAAGUGCCUUGCUCAAGAGCACCUGGCUAUCAGCUGCUGAUGGAAGCGAAGGCAUUACUCAUUUACUUCUCUUGCCCAGAUUUUCCCAGCUGGUGCAGGACUCAAAUUAAUGAUUCUAAUGAUUUUUAGCGAGACACACACCACAAUUUAUGUGUUAUUGUAAACCCUGACAGUUUAGGAUAAAUCUCUGUGGGUAGCAUUGGAUAAACACUGUAUACUCGUGUAUCUUCCCAGAAACAUAACGUUUUUGACCCAGAAAGCUGCACCAGUGAAUGGAUAAAUGUGAAUCACAGGAUAAAUAUUUAGAUAUCUCGGGUUGAUGGACGAGCCGAAGCCAUUCUCUUGGCUGGCCUUCCUCCCGUCUCCCAUCCCAGGACACGGGAAACCAGUUAAAAAGAUAUUUCCAAACAUCCACGUCCAUUGCAAAAUCUAUCACGCUGACGUCAGUAAGCAUUACACGUGAGCUGACUAAGAAGACACUGUGCAGUCUCUGAAGAGCACUUUACACUAAAGCUUGUAGGUGUCAAAUUUUCAAUUGGUGAAUAUCUCAUGUAAGAGCCAAACUCCCACAUGCUGCGAUCAACAGAUAUCAGCACAGAGUUUCCAGUGAUAUUUAGCAGAGUUUUGACAAAUCUGGAUUUUGAAUUUGACCGUUUAGACGUAUUAGUGUAGUCGGUGCAGCGAAACAUGGAGAAAAACCCUUUGUCAGACUCUGCAUGUUCAUCAGUCUGAGCUGUAUUUUGUCAGCCUUAACGCUCGCUAACACCAACAUUUGAAACAGUGACAUUUUGUGGCGACAUCACUUAAUUCCAAUGAAAUCACUGCAAUCAGGUGAUUCAUUCGCAGGGGCGAAGGAAAUCCGCACUAGGUUUUUGCAAAGAGUUCAACCGUGGUCAACUUUGACACGCACGCUUGACCUUUGAUGGAACGGAGAGCUGGAAAGUCCAACAUGGAGGAAGCUAUUGUAGCUUAUUAGCUGUGUUAUGAGACUCCUGUCUCAUAAAUGACUGCAAACCGUUCCUCUUCUGUGGAGCAGUUUAUACUCUGACAGAGGAGGUUAAAUAAAAGUGGAUGGUGCAACACAGCUAAGAAGCUACAACAGCUUCCUCCAUUUUAAACUCUCCAGUACUCCGCUCCCUCAAAGAUCAGCUCUGUCAAGCCGGCUCACUUAUGGUCAACAGUGCAAAUUCACGUGUCAAAGUUCACCCAAGUUGAACUUGACAUGAAAAUUCAACGCAGGGUCGCCCUGCUGCAAAGUUGAUCCUGGCUCAAAACUUUGCUGCGAUGCGAGGCGACGUCAUCUGGCAAGACAUAUGCGAGCGUUCAUUCCUAGUCGAUCACUUUGUAGCGCGGACGCUGUAUUUCUGCUGUUUACCUCCUGAUCGUCGCAAAGAAAGAUGAAACAGUUGUCGCCAUGAUAACUUUCCGGGUCCUGUGUGAGUUUUAGAAACUGCUGUGGAGUGUUUUGGCGUCUGGUAAGCCUUCAGAUUCGCGGAUCUGUUCUCAAACUGGACUUCACGCUGGUGUCUGAAGCAACACGCCCCCACCAACGCAGCAGCCCCUUGCAUUGUUUGAAUGUAGGGCUGAUCUUGACAAGGAUCCCUGAGUCAGUUUUGUGCUGUUGCGUAAUCCUAAAUUAAUUUUGACAGCAAAUCUGGGUCCAGGCAUUAUUCCAGCAUAGAAACAUUUAACAUAUUGCAUGAGAGGGGGGUUAAUAGGGUACCAGCAGCUCAUUUUUGCCCCAGGGCCCUCUAGCAGGUGAUCCGGCCACGAAUAGUAGUACUGAUAGCAGUAGCUGCAGUGGAAGCAGCUGCUGUAGCAGUUAUCAUGGUAGUAGCUACAGUAGGAGUAGCAGUGACAGGAGUUGUAGUAGCAGUAAUAAUACUGUAAUAUACAUGUUGCGGGGCCUCUGCUGUAAGUUGAAGUGUGUCUGUGUGUGAAUGCAGCCUGUCCGGGCCUGUCGGUACUCAGCACUGCAGCAUGAGCGGCUCAUUGAUCGUCCUCUGAUAGGUGGAGUGUUGAUCCUUAAUGACCAAUCAUAAGAGCCAUGUGCGUGGAGGCAGCAGCACAGCAACUUCUGCAACAACAUGUGGGUGUUGUGACAGAACCAGAGAGCGAGCCAAGAAACACUCUCCAAACUGAUAGUGAUACAAAAGACUGACGGAGAUGAGAAACAUUAACGCAUGAUUUUUUUUUUUUAUGAGACUCGGUAGAGCACUUGAAUAUUUUCUGUAAGACACUGAGUGCAAUUAAACUAAAGCAUUAGUACCCAUGUUAGAGUAAAGCACUUUCUCUGUCUGUUAGAGACAUAAUGUACAUUUUAAUAGAAUUAUCUUUACAUCAUAGGUUGAAAGGGACUAGCUGAUAAUGCAGGAACUGAAUGGAAACUAUUUUUUGACUUAACUACUCUCAUUUCUACACUACAGUGAUGAAAACAGUUUAGUUCCUGUGUUAGCACUGAGAGGGUUAAGUGUGGUAAUAAAACAUGUGGUGUGGUAACUUCAUACACUGAGAGCAUGUUUGGUAUAGUCAAACAAAUGGCAUGAAAUUAAUAACUUUUGGGAAUUUUCCACUGAAUCUUCCACAACGGUGGAUAUUUACUACGGUCGUGCACUCAUACAGUAUGUAAGAGAUAAAGUCUAAUUAGACCUAACAAUCAUUUAUGGCUCUUUAACAGACUAAUAAGAAUCAUACUCUGGUGUUUGCUUGUAAUGUUUUGUUUUAUUCCUACAGCAUCCACACUUUUUUGUCUUAAAACACACAAGAUAAUAGUCGGUGUUUUAAAAAUACUGACAUGUGAAUCGGAAAGCAUUUUUCUUUAGUUCAAAACUUUUACAUAAUGAAUUUUCAGACUUUUAAAUUGCUUACUUUUAACCACUUUAGGAGAAGUUUUGAAUUGUGUUACUUUGCGUCCGUGUUUUUAGGGCAAAAUCCCGAAAUAAUGUGACACAAAACAUCCAAACAUUUUAAACUCUGAACUCUGAAAUGGACUAAAGCCUAGCUGGGUGGGAAUAGAUGAGAAGGACAGGAGACAUGCUUCCUUCAGUCAUGGGAAAAGAAACAACAAUGUUGUAUCUCAUUUUGUUAGCUCUGCCUUUCUAGAAGCUUGUUUGAUAAAAACACUUGCUGUGAUUGACUUUGAGGCCGUUUGCACAAUGAAGCUAUCACGUUUCAUAUUAUGGGUAAUGUUUGCCCUCUGGGGCAUGGAUUCAAUGUAGUAAUGAUAAAAUAUUUCGCCAUGAUUCACCUCACUGUCUCUCAUGUGUGUACAUAUCUAUUCCCACAGAGUCUCAGCAUGGCUGGAUCUCCCUUCAGGGUGUGUGACGGGUGCAACCGGGGGCCGAGAGUGCCGGUUACUAACUGAUAAAAGUUAUGUAAAUGCCAGCUAUGACUGUUUUAUUGCUCGACCAUGAUCCAAGCGUCCAGCCUGGCUGCUUUACAACCUGCCGAGGGUUUCAACCAUCAAUCACUGCGGGCUGAGCUCUGCCAGGCCCGGACCGAGUCUCUGUCUCUCUGCCCGGGUGUCAGGAUGCUUCCCUGGAGCAUCUCACAACGGACACCAACACCGGACAGACGGCGACGAACUGCGGAUAUUUUCUCUACAUAUAAAAACUCUGUGUUUUGGUGUAAAAUGGAAGUAACACGUGCAUAAAAACCAACGUUUUAAGCAUGCAACACAAGAAGACAGGCUUCAGGAAAGCGUUUUUCUCACAUUUCAGUCAAGUUUCUAAAAGAUAAAUAAGGGGAAAAAAAAUAAUAAUUGUUUUCUGUCUUCAGAAACAGAACUGUUGUGCAAACAGGAAACUCUUAGCUUUACUGAUUCUCCAAAUGGACUUCAUUUUGGGAAUCAUAAAGUCCAUUUCGACUGACACUCUUCAAAUGAAUUGCAUGUCAAUACUUUUCACAUAUGCUUCGGCUACAGACGCAUUAUGGGAUACAUUUGCAUCCAACAUCAUAUUAUUCAAGAGAGGAAAUACGAGCUCAUCCCAAGAAGAGAGACUCUAUUUCUUUAAGGCCAAAGAAGGAAAAAAGAAAAAUGGAAAACAUUCAAGCUUUCUCUCUCGUCUCUUAUAUAAAAGUUAAACACAGGCUGCUGAAACGCAUUUGUGCUUUCUUUAUCUUUGAUCUAUUAUCCAUUAGAAUAAAUGCUUUUAAACUUUUCUGAGUGGCUUCAACGUUUGGCUUUUUUCUUCUUUGGUCUCCAAUAUCCAUCCUUCAAAGAGCAACUUUCAAGACAUUUGUAGACGAACAGAAUUCCUCCUUUUAAUAUUUUGUGUUUUUUUGCUGUUUAUGCUGUUUCCAAAACCAUCUUUGCCAUCCUUUCAGACGAAGAAGCAUUAGACGAAGUCAAGAUGUAUAUUCUCCAGCCUGGACAGCGGGCCUGCAGGGGCUUCAGCCCCCCCAAACUGCUCUGCUGUCCUGCAGGAACUCACAUUUUCAGAAGAUGCAGAGAAAGUUCCCACUCACACGACCUUUGUCAGCCCUGCAACUUGUUAACCACAAGUGCUACUACUGAAGCAAAAUCUAUCCGUUAGCCUACUUCAACGAGCAUCACUAUGCUUGUGAAACAAGAACGUGUCUGAGAUUAAAGGUCUACAUUUUCUUCGUAUCAAUAUCAGACACAAAUGUCUUCUUUCUGCCUUUAAGUUACUUCAAUAUAAAGUAGAAUUGUUAAUUAUUAAUCUAAUUUGCUAUUAAAAGUAGUUUGCAAAUACUGAAAAUAAAGAGUAUUAGUCUUUCCUUGAUGAGUUCAAUUAAACUCGGUCAGCGCGUUUUGUUCGCUUUUACGCACAGGUUUGGAUUGCGCACUGAAGGCCGGGUAUCGACGUGUGCGCGUACACGUCACAGCAUGCGCGUCCUCGUUGACCUGCCAGUUACCCCGCCACUGCCGGAGGACGGAGAGCCUCGCUGCCCGCGGCGUGCCGCUGCCGGUCCCCGAUCGGCUCUCCGUGUUUAGGCGGAGGAAGGGCCUGUUUCCUGGAUCAGGCUAAACACGGGCCUCCGGAGCGCCGCGCUCAGGCGGGACCGGCCCGCUUCUGGCCGGACGGACACCGGCAAUAGAUCACUUCGACCACCGGGGCCCCUGGGCCGGGCGGGCACAGGCUCACAGCUGGGAAGGCUCCGAACCAGAAGGGGGGUCAAGGGCCCCCUGCACCGCCACUGCUCGGGAGUUUGUCAUUCUUACGCCCCCGGGAAUGACAGCAGGGCGGAGGGGUGGAGGAUGUUUAUUGCUGCUUCUCAGGGAAGCUUCCUGCCAUUAACUUUCACUUUCACUUCCAGAGUGAAGACAUUUACAAGGUCUUAAUUCCUGAACCUUGUUGGGUCACCAUUAGAGCUGUGGGAGUCCAAAACUGUCAGCAGGUGUUGAACUGGAAGCGCACUGACUGCGCAUUGAUUUCUACACUUUCAGAGUUUCACUGAUAUAUUGAUGACUGAUGAGAUGAUACCAUUUAGUUAUUAAUGAUAAGAUCAUCAGAUGCACACAGUUUACAGGCAACACUUAUAUCCAUAUAUAUGUGAUGCGCUAAGAUUUUAGAUCUUCAUUUGGCCUUUAGAUACAUUUCUGGUGAUGUUUAAUAUAUUCUGCAUUAAACUGAAAUAAACUCUUUUGGCUCACUUGGGGUAAACACCCAGGUCAUCAGAGAGGAUGAUGGGAAAGUUGCAGUACUUCCUCUUAAAUUGAUUUACCUGAUCAUUUUCUCUCAGAUUGAAUACUUAAUUCUAAUUUCUUAUGAAGAGAUCAUAUUUAUAUAAGAAUAUAAAUUUGGUUGUGAGAAGGGCGACAUUUCUGUCCUUUUCCCUUUAUUUGUUUGCUCUCUUCCAAAACAGCUGCAAAUAACUGAUUAAAACAUGAAUCUCCAAUGAGAAAAAACAGGAUUGUGACCGUCUCUGCGUUUCACUGGGGUCUUUGACUUUCCAACACAAAAUUAUAAUAAUAACUCCAGAAGUUUUGGCUCUGGCCUUUGUGCUCCUAUUGUGCCGUGCUCCAUUUAUACAUCCAUGAACUCAUAUAAUAGUCUAAAAAAGGGUCUAAAUUUAUCUCUAAUAUAGUAGAGCCUUUAACAAAAAGACUGUAUCUUCAGUGGAAAAUAGUUCCAAUGGAAACUGUUCGUAUCGAGGUCUCUGUAUUAUCCAGAGGAACCGGGAUAUUUCUUGCUUCAGCUGAUUUCAGCUUAAUAUCAAAACCUGUGCAAAUAGAACAAAAAUGAUUUGCAUGGCUUGAUCCCAACAUAGAUAAGUGAGAAAAUGUUUUUUUUUGUGAUUUACGUGAACAGACUCGUUAAAAUCAUUUUUUAAACCGACAAGCAGGCAGUGAACAGAGGCAAUAUGAUUUUAUCUGUUUGUCAAAAUGACUGAAUGGGUUAAAGUCGUUAAGAAAGGAACGAAAAAGAGGAAGAAACUGUGUUUCCAGUUGAUUUGAAAUCAUCUCUGGGCUUGACAGGAAGCGGAUCAGCAGAUGAAGUGUGUGUUUAUACACACUUGCAUGUGUAUGUGUCUCUGCUCUGUGUGUGGCUGUUUACCUGUACACUACCUUGGGCCGUGUGUGAUGGGUGUAUUAUAUGCGUACAGUACAUGUGAACCAGUGUGUGUGUGUGUGUGUGUGUCAGUACCUGUGUGUGGCUGUUUACCUGGGGCCGUGUGUGAUGGGUGUAUUAUACGCGUACAGUACAUGUGAACCAGUGUGUGUGUGUGUGUGUGUGUGUGUGUGUGUGUGUGUGUCAGUACCUGUGUGUGUGUGUGUCCGGUGUUGUGGGGUCGAGUUUCCUCUGAACUGAACUUGAUGCUGUAACUCAGUCCAGUGAAUCAGCUAAUGAGCCUGUUGGACAUGUAAUUAGCCUUAGAGACGUGUAAUGAUGCUGGCAGCCCUCCAUCUGACACUUCAUUAAUGUGUGUGUGUGUGUGUGUGUGUGUGUGUGUGUGUGUCAGGUCCAUUGUGAGUGUAUAAUAGGGACACCCAGGAAAGAUACUUUUCACGGUCCUGUCCAUGUUGCAUUUUGUUUCUUUACCCAAAUAUUCUUGUUAGAGUUAAUGGAGUUGAAGCUAAAACUUCAGCUCCCACAUUUCCUCUUAAAAAGUCAUUUUCAUGAAGACGAUUUAUGCAGCAACUCACAGCCCCUUGGUUCCUCUGUGAACAGGUUGUCUAAUAUUUAUAUAUGUAAAGUACAGUGGAGGCAAGUAUAUAUAAGUAUAGAGGCAAACACGGCUUCCAAAUAGAGUCAACUUAAAGAACAUCUGAAGCUCUUAAAGGGUUUGUUUCAUGUUGUGCAUAAAUGAUCACAGAGUAAGUGGCUGAAAUACAGUGUUAAUUUGACUUCCAGUAUUCUUUGUUUUGACACAUUUUUAUGAAACCUCUUUAGGGAAAGUCUGUCAAAUGAAAAUUCAAGUGAAUGUUUUAGUCUAAAACAACUAGAAAAAUAUGUUAACACGAAAGGAAAGUUCGUAUUAUUUUUCUCAAGCGUUGAAGAAACUUUUACCUGAGUGACAAAAAGGGGAAAACAGUGCACGAUUCAUGUUAUUCAUAAUAUUAUAAUAUAAUAAGUAUAGUCCAUAACCUGUCUUUACUAUGAUAUGAUAUUUGAUAUGAAUGUCUGUUCAUAUCAACUCAUGUGCUGACCAUAUUUCAUUUAGAAAUAGCAGAAUAUUAAUAUUUAAUAAGCUAAUGUUUAUGUUAUUUUGACCCUUAUUUUUCUUAAUUCAACUUUUUAUAUGUGUUUUUACAGUUUAUAUUUAGAUUUACAGUUAGUGUCAUUUUUAAUAGUAAAGUUUAUUAAACUGCAACAUAUAGGCCCCUGCACAGUGAAAUUUUGUUUUCAUAGUGACGUCUUGGAUUUCACCUGCGUAAUAUUUAAAAAUCCCAUCAUGUGAAAUUAUGUUCUACAUGUUUUGUGUAUAACUUAACUUGCUUUUUUGUAAGGGAAGGAAUAUAUAUCAGUCAGGCUCUACAAACGUUAAGUAUAUGUUGCGUGUGUCGUGUGUGCAGUGUGCAUGUAAUACACACUGUGUUGUGUAUGUGUGUCUUCAUCAGUCGACCUGCACUGGAUUAAGCAGCUAAUAUAUCUGUGGAAUGAUUCUGCAGGUCUAAUCAUAGCAGAGGUAAGGUGUCUGCUACCGCACGCACACACACACACACACACACACACACACACACACACACACACACACACACAUUUAAACAAGGUGUGUAGUUUGAAGCCUUGACAGGAGCCAGUAAUCUUGCAGUGCUGAUGGUUUGACUGACAUGUUUGCCAGUGUGCAGUGGGCGGGGCUUAAUUCAUACAAACACACAUUCCGAGUUCUUUGUCCACACCCUGAAAUAGUCCUUGGCCUAACAGAGAGAGAAUGACACACACACACACACACACACCUCAGCAAUGCAGUAGUGCUCAUGUCAUGUACAGGCCUGUCCUCGCUGCUCUGUGUAUGCCUGUGUGUGUGUGUGUGUAUUGGCCAACAGAUCAGAGGGCUGCAUGACAAUGUUCUCUCUGGGUGCAUCUGAGCGGCGACAGGAAUGUCAGGAAGUGUCGGCCAUGUUCUGACGCUGAUGUGACGGUAUGUAGCAGCCGGAGUCACAUUUCGUUCUGCCACGCUGCCAUACAGAGCUGCAGAGCUGCUGUGAUAGUUUGCCACUCAUCAAUCUGUGGAAUGAAAGCAGCCAAAAAUAUAAAAUGCUGAUGUUUCUUUUCGUGCACAGUAUUAUGAAAUUAUCAGGAUGUCUGUCCUGCAGAGCUGAUGAAACCUUGAACCGCACUCUUAUUAAAUAUCAAAGAAUUUAAAGGAGAAUUCAGAGUAAACAAUAUUACAUUAUAUGCAUCCUGAGCAACUACAAUGAGUCUAACAGUAGAAGGAGCUUUAUUUGCCAGAUUGCCAUAAUGACCACCAGUGAGGUCAGAGGUGAAGAGAUCCACAACAAGACAUCUGCUACAAACUGUGUGUACUGAAGACUCUUUCACCGUGGAUCCUUCAUGAGGAUGAUCUUCUUACACAAUUUCACACUCCCAGCUGUGUUUGUUGGUCAAAACAGCCUCCACUGUCAGAAACUGCCACACUCCUCCAACAACAGUCCCAGACUUUUAGGGCCGAAUUCAGACCGACAUUAGCCCUGCAUGAAAAAACACAGCUUCCUCAUUCAUUUUAAUGAGGCCAGUCUGGCGACACAGCGGGGUGCCAACACAGGGGGCUCUGACAGAGAAAGGCAGGGUCGUCUGGCUAAAAAGUUGAAUCUGGUUCAACUUUUGCUGCAACGUCAUACGGCAAAAUGCUGCAGUGGCCAAUCACAUACAUGCCAGCCCACAUUUCUGGUAGAUUGUUUUGUAACGUAGCGUAUUUCUUCUGUUUACCUCGUGAUCGUCGUAAUGAAAGAUGAAAUAACUUUCCAGAGUUGUAAACUCCUGUCUCAUAGGAUUAUAAACCGUUGUGCAGUGUUUUGGUGUCUGACAAGCCUUCAAAUUUACGGAUCUGUUGCUCAAACUGGACUUCCUGGAUCGUAUUUCACGUCUCAGCUGUACAUGAAGCAACACACCCCCACCAACAACGCAUAGCAGCUUUCUUUCUCUGUAGUCAGUUUGGAAAAGAAAAAUGUCCACUUAAAACUCAUAAUGUCAAGGUUUCCCUGUAACACCGUCUGCGGCAGUGUGAGGAGGGAGACUGUCCUUUGGCUGCCUGAGACAACAUGCAUCCAUCCUGCUGACGUGUCCUUGAGCAAGACACUGAACCCUUUCCAGCUCCUGGUUGGCUGUACUGUACCUGACCUUGACCUCUGACCUCCACCUGGAGCAAGCUCUCCUCAUUGAGAAUCAAUAAAAUAUAAGACUACAUUAAAUCUGAACACACCUCCCUCUACCGGGGAAUUCCACAGCAAAAUGAAAUCUCACUCCUCCUUCCUCUGAGUAGUGUGAGUAGUGACUAGUCUUUCCCUCAGCUCUUCCUUCUGUUUAAUGGAUCAUUUCCCUGUCGACUCUCUGCUGCGGGAGAAAAAUGUCACGACACUUCCUACUCUCCUGGACCGAGCCUGGGCACCUGGGAGUUCAGCUGUCGCAGGAUGUGGGAAACCACAGGACUCCCUCAGGACCUACUACACACACACACACAGCCAGCAGGUGUGUAGCAGUCAGGAGGACUGUAGUGUUGAUAGUAGUCAGGGUGUUUGUGCUGCUGCUCUUGAGAUCAAGCAGGGAAUUUCAUUUCUUCCCCCACGUGGAGUCUCACGUGCUGCGUUUUGUGCACUGAAGUGAAUUUUAUGUUAAGACAUUUUGUGGUACAGUAUGCAUUAUGUACAGAAAACACAAAGAGGGGCUGCAAAGUACACAUUUUUUCAUUCAUCUUCAUAUUUUCACUUAUUCAGUCAUUUGAAUCGUUCGGGCUAUCAAAUGUUAGAAAAUAGUAAUAAAUUCUCACCACAAAAGCAACAAAUCCUCACACUGAGAAACUGGAAGCAGCAAAUGUUGAUGAUGAAAAUGAUUAUAAAAAUAUGUUGAUGCCCGAGCCUUCUGUGCUGUGGAAUUAAGAAAUGAACCCAGAAAAUGUAUGAAGUGAUUGAUAUGUAUUGGAAGAAAUGCACUGUAACAUCAUGGCCAUGCAGCAAUUUGAAAAUAUGGCAUAUGGGGCCUCAGUGAUCCAAAAAAAAAAGUUAAUUUAGUGUCAUGAAAUUACAUUUUAAGCAAAUCAUGUUUUGUGCAUGAGAUGUAGUUUUACUCAGCCAGCAUUUUUGGCAAAGAAUAUAAUUUUAAAUGGUGUGCAGUUGUCACAGCUGUGCCAUGAAAGCCUCCUUCAACUGUUACAAAUUUAUAUGGAAGUAAGGGUUUGAUUUCUUUAUAAUCAUGACAAAUUAAUUUUGUUUAUUACGGUACGUGGCGUGAAACGCCUCCCCUGGAACAAAAAGUGUAUCAUACUAUGAAAUUCCCCCAUUCAUGAGAAAUUAACUGGGAAAUAUAGAAAACACAUAAACACAUACUUUUACGGGAAUGAGAGUGUAAAUGUCCUCUGUUUCACUGCAGAUUUACAGCAUGUUGGAUAAAAGUGAAGCUCGGUUUGGGUGAUUUCCACUUGUGGUUUCACAUCAGGCUUUUGAGGGUAAAAUUGUGUUUGUGGUGAAUCCAGCUUCUUUAAAGAGAAUGAGUUAAGUUUCCAAUUUGUCACCUCUUAUUCCGCAAAGAAAGAAACUUUAAUCCCCGAUUCACCAUUUCUGUCAUUGGGGAUUUUAAUGGAAAAUCCACAUUGGACUGAGCACAAAGAAAAAAAACUAAGCUCCAAACGUUAUUUACUCACUCAUGAUUGUGUGGUAAGCAGGGACGCAGCUAGGAAAUCUGGGCCGUCUGAGGAUUGUUUUGGGACAUGAAAGAAUAAGUACCAGUGAUGUGACGUGCCCCUGGGCUGCUGGAUGCCCUGAAUUAUUUUGUGGCCUGAAACCAUUUGAUUUGUUUGUUUAUGUAGCAAUGACAUGUUUAG